rnacentral:tRNA from 4 species
GCCCUAGUGGCGGAAUUGGUAGACGCAGUCGACUCAAAAUCGACCGCCGAAAGGCUUGCUGGUUCGAGUCCGGCCUGGGGCACCA